rnacentral:lncRNA from 1 species
AGAAGAAGAAGAAGAAGAAAGACAAGAAAACCAUUGACAAAUUUCCACAUCAAAAGCUGUUCAAAACACUGCAUCACCAUGGGAUUGGGGAUGUGUGCGCGCUCUGCCUUGAAUAGAGUCUGCUCAGAGAACGAGAACAGAGAAGGAAAUAGGCCCUUUCAAGGAUGGGGACAUGUAACAAAUGGUGUUCCUCAAGGAUCAAAGAUAGCACUUGUCUUACUGAACAUUUGUACAAAAGUUUGAGGAUUCGUCGCGGAGUAGAAAAUCCUGAUGCAUGGGGAAGAGUGAAUUCUGCUUAGUGAGGAACCAGAAGGAAGGGAAAGAGACUCCAACUGGAAUCCUCACCCAAUAAUCAAUGGCUGAUCAGUUAAGUACAAACCCAAAUGGAUCGCAGGUUGGUGUUUGAAACUACUCUGCUCUCAUGGCCAUUUCUAGACCAAAGAGAACCAGACAGCGCUGCCUUCAUCCUCAAUACAGAAUCUGGCAGAAUGUUGAACUAGAUGCUUAAAAUCCAUAUGUUUGAGGUGUUUUACACCAGUCUUUAGAUGACGUAUAUGCUACGCCUUGGCGAACUCCCACCUGGUAGCUAAUUAGAGAACUAUAUUGAGAAACAGCUCCUGUCCCAGUUGGGGCGAAGUGUCAGUGUCAUUGAUUGAUCAGCCAUCUCUUGCUAGGGAGGGAAAAAAAAAAAAGCAGAGUGGAGUGCAAAUACAUGGAGUGUCUGAAGACUCUAUACAAACUCUGAGCUGUUUGAAGGCUGGAGUGUACUUCAGCGACUCAGUGGUCACCAGGAAAAUCUCAGAGCAAGGGAGAGAGACAACUGUUGCGGAGCUGACAUGGAUUCUACUCUGGUAGAAAAGGUUCCAACUCAUGGGUAUAAUGGUGUGUACAGCACAGAUGCCCCUAUGACUCCAGUACAAGGAGAGCAUAGGUCAAGUUCAAACUGCUGUAAAUUGCCUCCCUCCUGGGGCUUCUGGCUCCCUAUAUGCCUUAGGGAGACUGAGUAGCCUCCAUCUUUCCCUGAGGGGCAGAGCUGGGUUUCUCUAAAUUGGUCAUGAGGAAAACCCUUAAUGCACAGACUCGGGGCUCUGACAACAGUCAACACAAUCAUGAGUAAAAUAUAAAUAAUAGUAGAAUACAGUAGUAUACAUACUGCACCACAGGAGUAGGUCCCCUUGUGCCUGGUUUCAGCCACCCAAGGUCAACUGCCAUCUGGAAACAGAGGAUCUUCCUUCUGACAAAUGGUCGGAGAGUCAGGAGUGGCCUAACACAACCUCACAGCACCUGUGUGACUCAACUAAUUUCAUCUCAUCACCUGGCCCUCUUAUCACCUCACAUCAUCACAAGAAGAAAGGUGAGUACAGGAUGAUAAGGUAUUUUCAAAUGAGAGAGACUGUAUUCACCUAACUUCUAUUACAGUAUAUUGUUAUCAUUGUUCUAUUUUAUUAGUGGCUAGGUGGUGCAUCUCUUACUGUGCCUAAUUUACAAAUUAAGCUUUACCAUGGGUGGGUGUGUAUAGGAAAAAACAGUACAUACAAGGUGGGGUGCUAUCCACAAUUUCAGGCAUCCUAUGGGGUGGGGCUCUUGGACCAUGUCCCCCGCGAAUAAGCAGGGGAGGCUGUAACAGAGAGGAUUUUACGUAUUUCAGAGUAAAGUGUGUUCACUUUCGUAGAGCAACUCAUUUCAUCCCAUCGAAACUCCAGUGAAGGGACGCCUGGGUGGCUUAGCAGUUGAGCACAGAUCAAGAUCAGUGGCUCAGAUCCUGAUCCUGGGGUUCUGGGAUCGAGACCCGCAUUGGACUCCCUGCAUGGAACCUGCUUCUCCCUCUGCCUGUGUGUCUGCCUCUCUCUGUGUGUCUCAGGAAUAAAUAAAUAAAAUCUUAAAAAAAAAAAAAUCCCAGUGAUGUGUUUUAUCAUUAGCACAGCUCAGGGAGACAGUGUGUGUGUGUGCACUCUGCCUGCCUCGCCUCGUGAAGAAUGGACCCAGGAACCUGGCAAAGUUCAGGCAUGCUUGGGAACCAGUGACUUAAUGGAUGGAUUCGUUCAUUAAGCCAGCUUUUCUGACCGAGUUUAGCACCUGGCCUAUUUUUCCGGUACAGGUACCUAAAGGAUCCUCUCCUUCCUAUGGCAGUACAUUGUUAGGUUUUGUGCAAAUAGUCUGUCUCUUCUGGCCUGGAAACUUUCUCUAAGAAAGCUGGAUUUUAUGGCCAAUAAUCAAGAAAAAGAGAGAAAGAGAAAAAAGGACAGAGAGAGGGAGAGAAGAGAAACAGGCCCAAUACGCCAGGGUUCAUCACCUUGAACCUGUCACUGACCAGUAUUCUCAAUACAGCAACUUCUGCUGCUGGCUUUCUCACAUUAUGUGUUUCUGGCUCCAUCACCUUCUCUGAGCUUGAGACGAAGGCUUGCUCCUCUGGCCUCCCUGCCUCAUUCCAGGGUGAACUCAUCCCUUAGAUCACACUCUUCCAAACUCCUUCAGUAAGGUCUGACCCACGGGGCCUCUCUGCUCAGCCCACACCUCCCAGCCAGCCAGAGUCCCUCCCAACCUCACUUCCUGCCCUGCAGGUUUGAACUUGGGUGAUGAAGGGGACGAGGCAAAUGAUGCUCCCUUGACACCUGCCCAUGGGAACCAAAUGCCAGGACAUCGGGGUCCAGCUUUGCAGAUCUGAUUCUCCGACCUCACUCAUUCCCCUUCUGCCUCAGUUUCCCCAUCUGUACCAUAAGGGGCUACAGAGGUGUUCCCUGAGGAUGCUUCCACAGCCAAGAUUCUGGAAUCACCUGCUUUUCAUGUGGGAGAAAGCAGAGGCACAUAUAAGAGAAGCGAUUUGCAGUCCCUCCCACCCACAGGCCCCAAGUAGACUCCAGUCUGCCUUAAGGCCUGAGAGGGAGAAGCAGAAACACAGCGAGUCUUCAGCAGGGCAGUAAGGCCAAGAUGUGAUAGACAGGAAAGAAUCCUGUAAUCACCAAGCAGGAGAGAGCACGAUCCAUUAACUCCUUUUAACCAAAGCUGCCAGGGAGCCAUCCACCUCCUGCUGCGCCCGUGAACCCAUCACUCCCCAGUGCUCAGGGCUGGGGAGCCAUCUCAGGCUGGUGCCUUCGGGUCGCUCAUGCUGCUGCCCUGCCCCAAAGUCCACAUUUAAGCCGCCCAGAAGGACUGCAUGAAGCAAUGCCAUCUAAAAAUAUUACCGCCACUUGGGACCUGAUUACUUUUUCUUCCUUCGACAAAUGGAAUAUCCACAGGAGCUGCUCUCAGCUGAUGCCCAGAUAAUGCUCAAGGAACAGGCACUUGUACAGCCCCUGGCUCAGCCCCUUUCCCCUGCAGAUGGAUCAGAAAAGCUUGGAAACUUGCCAGAGAUCACACAGCCACAACUGCAUCGCUCAGAGGAUAUCUAUAGUCCAAAGCUCUGUUAGGGCCACUUCUUUUUUUUUUUUUCUAUCCGACUUAUGUUCUUUUUUAAUUUAAAUUCAAUUUGCCAACAUAGAGUACAUCAUUAAUUUCAGAUGUGGUUUUCAGUAAUUCAUCAGUUGUGUAUCACAGCCAGUGCUCAUCCCACCAUGUGCUCU